rnacentral:rRNA from 1 species
AGGGGUGCUGGGGUCGGUCAGUGGAGGGAGGAUCGCGGCACGGGCCGGAGGAAGGGGCGCGGUCGGGUGGAGGGAGGGGUGGAAGAGGCUGCGCCGCGCGGGGGAUGGGAAGGAUGGAAGAGGCCGCUGCGGCCGGUGGUGGUGGAGGAAAGGGCGUCGCGAGGUGGGAGGGUGGUGGAAGGCCCCUAGACCGGCCGCUGGUACCCCUGCUGGAGGGUUGGUGGCCCUGUGGUCUGGUGCGGUGGGGGGAGGUUGGUAACGACGGAGGGCUCAAGAGGAGCGGCCGCGGUGUGGCAAUAGACGGCCGGCGGGGGUACGAGACGGGGCUACGGUGUGGAAGAAGAAAGAAGGAGGGGACAGAGGGUGUUGGUUUGCGGCGGUGUGGGGUUACGGCCUAGGUUCAGGGUCCUCAACGGCCUAAGCGCGCUCUAUGUGACGAAGGUUCGGAGGGCGUCACCAGGAGAAGGGCCGGCUGGUAGAAGGAGCGUCCAAACCCACACCGCACGGGACGUAGAGCGGCCUAAGGGUGCCGAGAGGAGACAUCUUCCCGUUUUCCAAACGGCCUAGACCCGCAGACGCCAUCAACAAAAAGCUGUUGGAGGUGGAGUCCGGAGGACGAGCGUUCGCGGAGGGCACCGGCACCUGCGGCCGCUCACCGCUGGCAGCCUGGGGGGCGCGGACAUCGGUGCCCUAGGUCGGCCUAGGGGAAUAGGAGUGGAGCCUAGCACGCCACUGGAGGUACAGUGGCCACUGCUCGAGGUUGUGGCUGCGGGUGUGGGGGGAGGGGGGAGGGGCUCGUAGCUACUUCUUCGCACGUCACGUCACACGCCACGCACCUCUACAUCACGUCAGAAGGCCGCGUAAGGGGCCUACGCACGCUCCCCUCAGCUGUCGACGUGGUUGCGGGGUACCUUCUCGUCAUCCGCAGCGAAACGUCAAUUCUUUUUUUACGAAAACCUAAAAACGACAGUAAAAAACACAUAAGUCGGGUCUUCUAAAGGAUCACGUCAGGCCACUAAUGAUUACGUUCCAAAAAAUAUCUACGUCACCACGUCAAGCUAAUUUAGGGGGGUGAAGAAGGUGUAGGGGAGCAGGCAGGAACCUCGUCGUGCCCGAACCACCACAUCAUGUUGUGCCGCUUACCGACGUCAAACGACACAUUAUUACGCCGAAAAAGUCUAAAGUAGCCCGUGUUUUUAACAUCAGAAAUAGAAGCUACGUCACGACGGAACAAAGCACAACUUAGACGUCAACGAUUUUCUCGUGGUACCGAUCGACACACAACACGCAUGUCAGGGCUGCCACACCCGUACGGCAAGUGAACCUCGAGGGACCGAUAAGUUAAACGGUACACGAUGACAAGUAAAAGGAUACAAAAGGAGUCAAUUGAAUUUUUUUCAAUACCAACUGAACCUACGUU